rnacentral:rRNA from 1 species
AGACAAACUCCGAAUGCCAAUUAAUUUAACUUGGGAGUCAGAACAUGGGUGAUAAGGUCCGUGUUCGAAAGGGAAACAGCCCAGACCACCAGCUAAGGUCCCAAAAUAUAUGUUAAGUGGAAAAGGAUGUGGCGUUGCCCAGACAACUAGGAUGUUGGCUUAGAAGCAGCCAUCAUUUAAAGAGUGCGUAAUAGCUCACUAGUCGAGUGACACUGCGCCGAAAAUGUACCGGGGCUAAACAUAUUACCGAAGCUGUGGAUUGUCCUUUGGACAAUGGUAGGAGAGCGUUCUAAGGGCGUUGAAGCAUGAUCGUAAGGACAUGUGGAGCGCUUAGAAGUGAGAAUGCCGGUGUGAGUAGCGAAAGACGGGUGAGAAUCCCGUCCACCGAUUGACUAAGGUUUCCAGAGGAAGGCUCGUCCGCUCUGGGUUAGUCGGGUCCUAAGCUGAGGCCGACAGGCGUAGGCGAUGGAUAACAGGUUGAUAUUCCUGUACCACCUAUAAUCGUUUUAAUCGAUGGGGGGACGCAGUAGGAUAGGCGAAGCGUGCGAUUGGAUUGCACGUCUAAGCAGUAAGGCUGAGUAUUAGGCAAAUCCGGUACUCGUUAAGGCUGAGCUGUGAUGGGGAGAAGACAUUGUGUCUUCGAGUCGUUGAUUUCACACUGCCGAGAAAAGCCUCUAGAUAGAAAAUAGGUGCCCGUACCGCAAACCGACACAGGUAGUCAAGAUGAGAAU